rnacentral:rRNA from 1 species
ACAAUUGGAGGGCAAGUCUGGUGCCAGCAGCCGCGGUAAUUCCAGCUCCAAUAGCGUAUAUUAAAGUUGUUGCAGUUAAAAAGCUCGUAGUUGAACUUCGGGAUCAAUGGAUUGGUCAUGCCGAUGGUAUGUACUGGUCAUAUUGGUUCUCACCUUCUAAGGAACCAUGAUGUCAUUCACUUGGUGUUGUGGGGAAUUAGGACUGUUACCUUGAAAAAAUUAGAGUGUUUAAAGCAGGCUAACGCUUGAAUACAUUAGCAUGGAAUAAUGAAAUAGGACAUCGCAUUCUAUUUUGUUGGUUUCUAGGAUCGAUGUAAUGAUUAAUAGGGAUAGUUGGGGGCAUUAGUAUUCAAUUGUCAGAGGUGAAAUUCUUGGAUUUAUUGAAGACUAACUACUGCGAAAGCAUUUGCCAAGGAUGUUUUCAUUAACCAAGAACGAAAGUUAGGGGAU